GCCGCCGUAGCUCAGUUCGGUAGAGCAACGGGCUGUUAACUCGUGGGUCGAAGGUUCGAGUCCUUCCGGCGGCGCCA
rnacentral:tRNA from 2 species